rnacentral:rRNA from 1 species
AAUCCAUAGGUUAAUGAGGCGAACCGGGGGAACUGAAACAUCUAAGUACCCCGAGGAAAAGAAAUCAACCGAGAUUCCCCCAGUAGCGGCGAGCGAACGGGGAGGAGCCCAGAGCCUGAAUCAGCAUGUGUGUUAGUGGAAGCGUCUGGAAAGGCGCGCGAUACAGGGUGACAGCCCCGUACACAAAAGCGCAUGUGCUGUGAGCUCGAUGAGUAGGGCGGGACACGUGGUAUCCUGUCUGAAUAUGGGGGGACCAUCCUCCAAGGCUAAAUACUCCUGACUGACCGAUAGUGAACCAGUACCGUGAGGGAAAGGCGAAAAGAACCCCGGCGAGGGGAGUGAAAAAGAACCUGAAACCGUGUACGUACAAGCAGUGGGAGCACAGGUUUACCUGUGUGACUGCGUACCUUUUGUAUAAUGGGUCAGCGACUUAUAUUCUGUAGCAAGGUUAACCGAAUAGGGGAGCCGGAGGGAAACCGAGUCUUAAUUGGGCGUUAAGUUGCAGGGUAUAGACCCGAAACCCGGUGAUCUAGCCAUGGGCAGGUUGAAGGUUGGGUAACACUAACUGGAGGACCGAACCGACUAAUGUUGAAAAAUUAGCGGAUGACCUGUGGCUGGGGGUGAAAGGCCAAUCAAACCGGGAGAUAGCUGGUUCUCCCCGAAAGCUAUUUAGGUAGCGCCUCGUGAAUUCAUCUCCGGGGGUAGAGCACUGUUUCGGCUAGGGGGCCAUCCCGGCUUACCAACCCGAUGCAAACUGCGAAUACCGGAGAAUGUUAUCACGGGAGACACACGGCGGGUGCUAACGUCCGUCGUGAAGAGGGAAACAACCCAGACCGCCAGCUAAGGUCCCAAAGUCAUGGUUAAGUGGGAAACGAUGUGGGAAGGCCCAGACAGCCAGGAUGUUGGCUUAGAAGCAGCCAUCAUUUAAAGAAAGCGUAAUAGCUCACUGGUCGAGUCGGCCUGCGCGGAAGAUGUAACGGGGCUAAACCAUGCACCGAAGCUGCGGCAGCGAACGUAUCACUUAAAGCGAUUCAGCGGGUUACGAUUGACGGAGCGAAGCGACGUCAAAGCGUAUACAAAGUCGAGUCGGUUUAAGGAUACGUUCGUUGGGUAGGGGAGCGUUCUGUAAGCCUGUGAAGGUGGCCUGUGAGGGUUGCUGGAGGUAUCAGAAGUGCGAAUGCUGACAUAAGUAACGAUAAAGCGGGUGAAAAGCCCGCUCGCCGGAAGACCAAGGGUUCCUGUCCAACGUUAAUCGGGGCAGGGUGAGUCGACCCCUAAGGCGAGGCCGAAAGGCGUAGUCGAUGGGAAACGGGUUAAUAUUCCCGUACUUGGUGUUACUGCGAAGGGGGGACGGAGAAGGCUAUGUUGGCCGGGCGACGGUUGUCCCGGUUUAAGCGUGUAGGUGUGUGUUCCAGGUAAAUCCGGUUCACUUUAACACUGAGGCGUGACGACGAGGCACUACGGUGCUGAAGCAACAAAUGCCCUGCUUCCAGGAAAAGCCUCUAAGCAUCAGGUAACAUCAAAUCGUACCCCAAACCGACACAGGUGGUCAGGUAGAGAAUACCAAGGCGCUUGAGAGAACUCGGGUGAAGGAACUAGGCAAAAUGGUGCCGUAACUUCGGGAGAAGGCACGCUGACACGUAGGUGAAGUGAUUUACUCACGGAGCUGAAGUCAGUCGAAGAUACCAGCUGGCUGCAACUGUUUAUUAAAAACACAGCACUGUGCAAACACGAAAGUGGACGUAUACGGUGUGACGCCUGCCCGGUGCCGGAAGGUUAAUUGAUGGGGUCAGCGCAAGCGAAGCUCCUGAUCGAAGCCCCGGUAAACGGCGGCCGUAACUAUAACGGUCCUAAGGUAGCGAAAUUCCUUGUCGGGUAAGUUCCGACCUGCACGAAUGGCGUAAUGAUGGCCAGGCUGUCUCCACCCGAGACUCAGUGAAAUUGAACUCGCUGUGAAGAUGCAGUGUACCCGCGGCAAGACGGAAAGACCCCGUGAACCUUUACUAUAGCUUGACACUGAACAUUGAGCCUUGAUGUGUAG